ensembl:lncRNA
CAGAGACAGCAGUACGCAUGCGCGAGCCGCGAGAGAACAAUACGCAUGCGCGAGCAGCGAGAUGGCAGUACGCAUGCGCGAGUUUCGAGACGGCAGAACGCAUGCGCGACAUCAUGGACGGCAGUACGCAUGCGCGAGCCUGGAGACGGUAGUACGCAUGCGCCACAACAGAGACAGCAGUACGCAUGCGCGAGCUUCGUGACGGUAUUACGCAUGCGUGACAUUAUGGACGGCAGUACGCAUGCGCGAGCCGGGAUACGGCAGUACACAUGUGCGACAUUAUGGAAGGCACUACGCAUGCGCGGGACGCGAGCCGGUUGUACGCAUGCGCGAGAUGGCACCAGAGACCGCCGCAACCUUUCCGACGCAGUUUUCCUGUUUGGACAUUAGGUGGCAGCAGAUACCGUGGAAACAACUCCUCCGCCGCCUUUUAGCGGACUGCCUGGGACCGUGGGCGCGCGCAUCCCCUUCUCUCUUUCUUUUCUUGGCAGAGGAUGGUGGGGGGAAGAAGGGGAGACGACAAAGAAAAGCAAGGAAAACUUCGACAAACCCCCCAACCCCGUGCUAAAUGCUUUGGUAUACCUGUAAAUAAAUGAAUACAUAACCAGCAA